UUUUUAUUUUAAUGUUAUGUAUAUGAGUGUUCAUCUACACGUAUGUAUGUGUAACACAUCUGUACAGUACACAU